AGCACUGCAUUCUUUUGUUUUUGUCUAACUUGGACAGAAACUUAGAAUUCUGUGCUAAUAAUAAAUGACUUUUUCAACCCACAGCUGAUUACAUGAGUUGUGCUACUUGUAAGCAUGGACAGC